rnacentral:rRNA from 1 species
GUGGGGAAUAUUGCACAAUGGGGGAAACCCUGAUGCAGCCAUGCCGCGUGUGUGAAGAAGGCCUUCGGGUUGUAAAGCACUUUCAGCGAGGAGGAAAGGUCAGUAGCUAAUAUCUGCUGGCUGUGACGUUACUCGCAGAAGAAGCACCGGCUAACUCCGUGCCAGCAGCCGCGGUAAUACGGAGGGUGCAAGCGUUAAUCGGAAUUACUGGGCGUAAAGCGCACGCAGGCGGUUGGAUAAGUUAGAUGUGACAGCCCCGGGCUCAACCUGGGAAUUGCAUUUAAAACUGUCCAGCUAGAGUCUUGUAGAGGGGGGUAGAAUUCCAGGUGUAGCGGUGAAAUGCGUAGAGAUCUGGAGGAAUACCGGUGGCGAAGGCGGCCCCCUGGACAAAGACUGACGCUCAGGUGCGAAAGCGUGGGGAGCAAACAGGAUUAGAAACCCGAGUAGUCC